rnacentral:lncRNA from 1 species
AUCAUCUCGUCGAUCACACCGACGAUCAUCUCCUUUAUUACCGUUGCGGAAACCUUUAAAGAGGCCUGGACAUCCUCGCGCGCACAUGCGGCACUGCUUCUCGUGGUCGUAUCAUGGCUCUCAAACAGCACCUCUAUAAUCCGGUAAAAGGUUCUAAAUAUGUUACUGAUUUUAUGCACGGUAUUCGCGUAAUUGUGGAUGAAUUAUCUCUCAUGGGGGUUACUGUUGAUUCUGAG